GUGCUCUUUAGGGAGCGACAGAAGUGGGAAUGGAAGGAUUUACAGCCAUACAUCAGAGAUUUGCGUAUACCAGGUCUCUCAUCAGAAGGAUUGCUUCUAAAGUACACUCGAAAAACGCAGCCUACCUCAGAUGCUGAACCUGUUUUCAGUGCAAGAUAAUCUCACCAUGCAUCUCGCGGGGUAUUCCAUGCUUGUCUUCUAAUGAGUGGUUAAGAUGGACUGUUUACAAAGUUGAACCACAUAGUGCUAUAAACAAUUAGUUCUGAAGGCAUCUUUACUGUCCCAUCAGUUGAAUUGUUCAGUGGCUUUGCCAUAAAAAUUACUAAAUCUAUUACA